AAAACUUUCAGCGACGGAUGUCUUGGCUCCCACAACGAUGAAGAACGCAGCGAAAUGCGAUAC
rnacentral:rRNA from 1 species